rnacentral:rRNA from 1 species
CCUUCGGGAACUCUGACACAGGUGCUGCAUGGCUGUCGUCAGCUCGUGUCGUGAGAUGUUGGGUUAAGUCCGUAACGAGCGUCAACCCUUGUCCUUAGUUACCAGCACGUUAUGGUGGGCACUCUAAGGAGACUGCCGGUGACAAACCGGAGGAAGGUGGGGGAUGACGUCAAGUCAUCAUGGCCCUUACGGCCUGGGCUACACACGUGCUACAAUGGUCGGUACAAAGGGUUGGCCAAGCCGCGAGGUGGAGCUAAUCCCAUAAAACCGAUCGUAGUCCGGAUCGCAGUCUGCAACUCGACUGCGUGAAGUCGGAAUCGCUAGUAAUCGUGAAUCAGAAUGUCACGGUGAAUACGUUCCCGGGCCUU